GCUCGUCUAGCUCAGUCGGUAGAGUGCAAGGCUCUUAACCUUAGUGUCGUGGGUUUGAGCCCCAUGUUGGCCA
rnacentral:tRNA from 1 species